UGGGGCUUGGAGGUGAGGUGGCUUGGAGUCAAUGACACAGACUCCAGGAGCAGUAGUCCUUAUUGUCCUUAAGAAACAACAUCAUCUCCUGUGUGAAAAACUCUGACCAGGAUGUGAACCCCUUGGGGCCCGGAGAUUGCAGACUUCUGGGACUUUGAAGAUUGGAGGCACUCAGCCAUAUCCCUGGUACCUUUGCAGGGAAGCCAUAUAAAAAUGUAAUGGUCCAACUUCCUGUUCCUGCUGCCAUGUCGUGGUGUCUCCUGUCCUGGUAGACUGUGGCCCUCUGGAAGUGAGGGACAUAAAGGCCCUCUCCCUAAGUUUCCUUUGGUCAUGGUGUUUUCUAACAGCCAUAGAAAAGUCACUAACAUACCAGCUCCAGGUUUUAUAAAUGAUCAUCUUUCUUGAUAUGUAACUGACUUGAGAUAAAAUUCACUCGUUUCUGAUAUUAAACAAGAGUUCCCCAAGA